rnacentral:tRNA from 1 species
AUUUAUAUAGUUUAUAAAAACAUUACAUUUUCAUUGUAAAAAUAAAAGAUCACUUUUUAUAAAUG